CUACCCGGGUAUCUAAUCCUGUUCGAUACCCGCACUUUCGAGCCUCAGCGUCAGUUGCACUCCAGACAUAUGCCUUCGCGAUCGGAGUUCUUCAUGAUAUCUAAGCAUUUCACCGCUACACCAUGAAUUCCAACAUCCCUGCGUGCACUCAAGACAACCAGUUUCAACUGCAAUUUUACGGUUGAGCCGCAAACUUUCACAGCUGACUUAAUCGUCCGCCUACGCUCCCUUUAAACCCAAUAAAUCCGGAUAACGCCUGGACCUUCCGUAUUACCGCGGCUGCUGGCAC
rnacentral:rRNA from 1 species